rnacentral:lncRNA from 1 species
AAAAUUCAUAAAAAUCAAUAAAAAACUUUCAUACAAAUUUAUAAAAAAUCCACAAAAUCCACAAAAAUCGUCCUUGAAAAAAUGUUCAUCAAAUUCUUUGAAAGUCACAGUUGAAUACAUCCUUUUCAAUGUCUCGACUUUCCAAACACGCCGCCAAUAACCACCAUCUCUAUUCUGAUCAGAGGCGACUGUAAUUCCUCCGGCACUGGCCUCCCUUGCUUCUUCCAGCCAUUUUCCUUUGUCUUGUGCUCGUUGAUCCACCAAGGUCCCUGGUGGACACUAAGAGGCAGCUCCCCUUCCAUAACACUUCCGGAUCCAUCUCUUUCCAGUGCCCAGUUCCUUGCUGCCUUAGGGAGAAUCAAGGCAGCUAUAUUUUUCUAGGUUUCUUCUCCUAACUGCAUCAUUUUGGCCACUCUCUGAUUGAGGCGCUACUCUGAUUUUUCCCAUCUAGGUAAGCCCUUCAUCUCUGAUUUCAAUUCUUCAAUUUCCUUUUCUCUUCCUUCCACCUUGCUUUCUAUCUUCUUAGGGGCCACGAGGAUCAACGUACUCUGAUACCAAUUUGUUUGGAACCCAACCACAAAAAGAAGUUCCUGUAAAAGAACACAGAAAUAAGUAACUGAACUUUUAAUUGUAUUGAACAAAUUGACUAAUAACCGAAGGAUAACAGACUUAGAGAGGGACUCUCCACUAUCUCCUCUCUUCUCUCAAUUUAUGCCUGCCUCUAGACUCUUCUUCUACCUCUAUUUAUGAAUUUCUCCCAACUCAUUUGGCCUAACUACUUCCCCCCUACAACAGAAUGCAGUUCCCUUUCGUGCCAGCUGGGGAGUCGUGCUUCUUUACUCUUCUAGGAUAAGUGAAUCGGAUGGGAGGCUUAUCAUAAUCACAUAGAACUUGAACGAAUUGUUGGAUGCACACUGUAGGUGUAAAAUAUUUAUUCCCAGUAUUCAGAUGUUGCUAUCAAGCAAAUAAAGAAAAGUUGUUUCACACUUUCACUGGUCGACAGUGAGAGCAAGAGAGAUUGGUAAUACUUCCUUAGUUCCCA